UUGCACGUCUUUCGGCGGCCACGCACUGACAGUUGCACGCGGUGGCUACAACCCGACGAAUCAUCUUGGCCUAAUCCCCAAAUGAGUGUGCAGCCGUGGGGCGUUCCCACCCGGCGCACACGCAACUAAGGUGGAUUUAUGUUGUGAGUGUGCGCAACAGUUUACAACUAUUGUGUCCGGAUUCCACUUGACAGGACUUCCUAAUCCAUCUUCAGUGCCAUAAUGUAGCAGAAGCAUUUUGCUGGCUGAUGACGUUUAAAGACCCCGCCCCUUUCUCAUUUCUCAUUGGUUGCUUAAAAGAAACUUCCGGAAGCUUGAAUCUUUUGCCAAUGGAAGCAGGCAAAGCUGUGCCAAGCGACCCCCUCUGCUUCUGUCCCCGUCGAUGGGUUCGAAUGCAGCGGAUCCCAACCAAGUGCACCAUCACCACGCCCAGACUUGAAAAAGCACAAUGACGUGCUCACAAAAUGGAGGAGAACAAGGAUCUCCCUGAUGGAACGGCGGACCACGGCAGCCAAGCGGAGACUGUGGAACAUCACACCGCAAGCUAACUGUAAGUCAUCACGGUUAUCCAAAAUGAGAAUGCGGGCAAGUGGAGACUGCAGAGUAUCAUGCUGUGAGCCAAUGCCACAUUGAAUGCAUCAUUGGUAGCGAGAUGCUAACAGAUCAUGCUAGCAAGGCGACACUUUUGACAUACGGGGAGACUAAGGGCUGUGGUGGUUAACUGGAGACUGUGGAGGAAAAAAUACUUAAUGCUAAAAAUUUAAGUUUGACCUUGAAAGGUUUCACUUCCUGUAAUGUGAGCGCCAUCUUCUCGUUCGGGCGCCGAACAAGCGAUUUAACAGCGGCGAGUUUGUUUUGCAUUUAGCAACAAAUUCCCAACAGGGUUAAAAGAUGCUUUUUGUUCUUUUGCUGUCACUGGUUGCGCUCAUCCUCCCCUUUUCCACUAUCAAAAUUCUUUAGAUCGCUCCUUGAUGAAUUGUUUUUCAACAUCUGGUCGUUGCUGGCCUCAACGGCAGCAGAAGCAGGACGAGGCUCGAAGUCAACGAGCUCGUCUUCUUCUUGUUGCGAGCGGCGGGAGGAGGGAAGAGGACAACGUGGUGUGUACAAUUUACGGCCCUUCUCUGGAAAUUCCAGGCG